GCCUGGCUGGCUCAGUCAGUAAAGCAUGUGACUCUUGAUCUCAAGGUCCUGUGUUCAAACCCCACGUUGGGCG
rnacentral:tRNA from 1 species